GGUUGUGGCUCAGUGGUAGAGCUUUUGCCUUGCAUGUGUGAGGCCCUGGGUUUGAUUUCCAGCACCA
rnacentral:tRNA from 1 species